CAAGAGGGUUACAUCUAGCAUCUUUAAAUUUUAGAAAAGAAACCCCUCCCUUUUGCCUUGCUAAAGAUUUAACCAAGUUUAGCACCGUAUCUGAGGGUCAUCGGCGCCACGCACCUCUGCUUCUAUCGGCGCUUCACGGAGCAAAAUCGGGCAAGGCUGACGUGGGAGCCGUGGGUGCGAGGGAGUCGGGGGCACGAGGCGUGUUGGACGUGAGUAUUGACGUGGUGCGCAAGAUUCGACUGCUGGGAACUGCUUGCGGCUGCUACUCCUCAGGCUAGGAUUUCCCAUUUUUACUUUAUUGGUUUUGGGCUUGUUUAGUGGGUUUGUGUUUGUAUUGGGCUAGGUUUUGUUUUAGUGGUUAAUUUGUUUAGGCCUAGGUUUGGGUUUGUUUAAAAAUUUGGUCCUACAAUAUUUAUUUAUAUUUUUGUUAGAGAUAGUAAGAAAACUUGGGUUGCAAGUAAUAAAAUAAAGAAAAUUUAGAUAAA